GGGAGAAGUACCGUGGGGGCGGGUGUGACUAAUCAUCCCUCCGCACGCAGUCCAAGCCUCAUCAACGAACGAAUAGGUGGUGAAAGCAGUACUACCUCAAGCAGCUGACCAGCCCUUCCACGACUACAAGCCGGGUGAUUGGGUGCUGAUUCGGGACCUGAGGAGGCAGAGGUGGAACCAGCCCAAGUGGAGGGGACCUCACCAAGUGCUUCUGGUCACCCACACUGCAGUCAAGGUGGAAGGACGAGGAACAUGGGUACAUCACACUCACAGUAAGAGGGCUCCAACGACACCUGAGGAAAUGACUUCAACAUGAUGUACAUCACACUGUUGCUCUCCCACACCACUAGACAAUGCUACGGCUGCUCCACUGAUCCAGAACAUGUCAGAGUGUGGACUGAACAUAGGGGUGGGGUUCAUGUUGAAUGUUUCCCAAGAGUAUUUACUGACUGGGUGGAUGCCUGUAUGGGCCACUAAUGGCACCCAAGCUAUCGCACAUAGACCCAAUGAUUGUGAAUCUAAUGGUCCCAGGUAUUCACCUCAGUUUCAAAACAUAUCUUUUUCUGCAAUACCCACUUAUAAUACUACCAUGUGCUUGUGUUCAAUAGGUGUCCCAGAUGGCCCCAUCUUAGGUCACACCUGAUGCCGGGUCAAUUUUCCUGCCCAAAAUUCAGAAAAUACUGUCUCUACUGGUCACAUCACCCAUUAUUUCCAGUCUACUAACUGCACCCUACUCAUGUACACCCAAACCUCAGCCUAGUAAACUGGGUCUGUGGUCAGUUGGCCUACACUGGGUUCCCAAUUGCAACGCAGUAUAACUGGAGAGGGUGCUGUACUCCCGCCAUAGUAGUUCCCAAUUUAGCCGUGCUCCAUAAGCCCGUUAGGACUAGGCGAGGUGCCUCAACUUACAAUGGAUACACCCUCGCUGACCCCUGGACCUCCCCAGGGACAGCUGUGGGGUGGUCUGUGUUCUUGGGGGAGGCACAGCAGCAGCCUUGAACAAGAUAAAUGGCCUGGCAUGGCAGAUACUAGUCUUAGCCAAUGAAACAGAGAAAGCUCUCACCUUAGUGAAUACUGAGAUGGCUGCAAUUAGACAAGCCGUGUUGCAGAACAGAAUGGCUCUUGACCUCUUACUGGCUAAGGAAGGAGGGGUCUGUAAGGUAUUGAACAUUUCAUGUUGUUUCUCACUCCCAGAUUAUUAUAAAUAUGUCUGAUCUCAUUGCUCACAUGCAAGCUAGCAUUCAGCCUCCACCAAUCGCAGAUGACUCCUGGUUUAGCUGGCUGACAUCUCUGAUGGGCCCAUGGGGACACUGGAUUGUUACUAUGUUAAUACCAUUUAUAUGUGUGCUACUUCUUGUGAUAUGUAUUGCUCCCUGCAUCUAUAAUUGCAUUUCUGCCAUGAUUGCCCGCUCCUUUACUGCUCAAUAUCACAUGUUACAGAUGGACCUUGAGGAUGAUGAAAAUCACCCUUCUGAUUCUUUGAACUUGCAACAAUUGUUUAAUGAGGGAAAGUAAGGUUUAGAGGUUGAUUUAGAAUCAAAGGGGGGAAUUGUCGUGGAAAUGUAUUUAAUGGUGUUGAAAUAUGAUUUUUGAGCUUUUAUGCUUAAGGAUGAUUCUAAAUGUCACAGUGGCCGAGAGGUAGCGGGAUUGUUUUGUGUCUCAGGAGAUAAGUGGAAGAGACCUCGCUAUGAGAACAGAAGCAGAGUGUGAAGAUAGAGGCGGCAAGGCAGUGGCGCCUAGCCACAAGGCUAUGGGUCGAAUCUGGAUGUUUUCCUUGGCUGCUCGAUGUAAACAGGUCGUAUAAGAUAAACAUGUAAGAGAAUGGUGUACAAUUGAGAAUAAUGCUGACUAAUGCUUACUGCCAUGAAAGGAACGUAAGGGCGGGGGAAUGACAGAAGGGUAUAAGAAGCAAAACACACAGCUAGGAAAGAUAUAGGAAAGGGAGAGAGAAUCCAUUUUUUGUCAUGUUGGCUUUUUAAUAAACCUGUUACUCACUUUGA